GAUGAACGCUGGCGGCGUGCCUAACACAUGCAAGUCGAACGAAGCACCUUACCUGAUUCUUCGGAUGAAAGUUUGGUGACUGAGUGGCGGACGGGUGAGUAACGCGUGGGUAACCUGCCCUGUACAGGGGGAUAACAGCUGGAAACGGCUGCUAAUACCGCAUAAGCGCACGAGGAGACAUCUCCUUGUGUGAAAAACUCCGGUGGUACAGGAUGGGCCCGCGUCUGAUUAGCUGGUUGGCAGGGUAACGGCCUACCAAGGCAACGAUCAGUAGCCGGUCUGAGAGGAUGAACGGCCACAUUGGAACUGAGACACAGUCCAAACUCCUACGGGAGGCAGCAGUGGGGAAUAUUGCACAAUGGGGGAAACCCUGAUGCAGCAACGCCGCGUGAGUGAAGAAGUAUUUCGGUAUGUAAAGCUCUAUCAGCAGGGAAGAUAAUGACGGUACCUGACUAAGAAGCUCCGGCUAAAUACGUG
rnacentral:rRNA from 1 species